GGUCUCGAGAAGAAGCGUUAUUUCUGCAUUCCAAGAAGGACGGCACAAUGGUAUAUCACCCCGUGACGACCACAUCGAAGUCUGAAAUUGAAGUGUGAAGAUGCUUCAGCAACCCCUUCAUAUUUUUCCAUUGCUUUUAUUGUGCUUCUACUGUGCAUGUGAUGGCAAUGUAUGCCGGUGACACGGUCAGAUUUUGUCCAUGCGUGUACCGUACACCUGCAUGCUAUCGUUGAAAAGGAUCUGCCACUUACGAUCUUCGGACGAGUAUCAGGUCAGCUUGGUUUUGUGUGGGCUGUACCAGAUGCUGUUCACUUCUCUAUCUGUUGGAUAUGUGACUUUCUGCAAGUUUCUGGUGUAUGGUGGCCACUUCUUUGCUUGUCUUUGUAUGACAUUACAAUAAUUCUGUAUUCACUGCUUCCAUGGUGUGGUCUGCAAACUGCAAUCCUUAGGCAAAUAUCAUCACGCUGCAAUGUUGUGCUUUGGCCGCCAGCUUACCUACACAUUGUAGUUGAAUUAUUUUUGUUUCACAACUGACUUCCUGAAGUAUGGUGGCUACUGCUUUGCAUGGCAUUAUACAAUGUUCAUCAAGAA